GUAACAAGGUUUCCGUAGGUGAACCUGCGGAAGGAUCAUUACCGAGUGAGGGCCCUCUGGGUCCAACCUCCCACCCGUGUUUAUUUUACCUUGUUGCUUCGGCGGGCCCGCCUUAACUGGCCGCCGGGGGGCUCACGCCCCCGGGCCCGCGCCCGCCGAAGACACCCUCGAACUCUGUCUGAAGAUUGAAGUCUGAGUGAAAAUAUAAAUUAUUUAAAACUUUCAACAACGGAUCUCUUGGUUCCGGCAUCGAUGAAGAACGCAGCGAAAUGCGAUACGUAAUGUGAAUUGCAAAUUCAGUGAAUCAUCGAGUCUUUGAACGCACAUUGCGCCCCCUGGUAUUCCGGGGGGCAUGCCUGUCCGAGCGUCAUUGCUGCCCUCAAGCCCGGCUUGUGUGUUGGGCCCCGUCCUCCGAUCUCCGGGGGACGGGCCCGAAAGGCAGCGGCGGCACCGCGUCCGGUCCUCGAGCGUAUGGGGCUUUGUCACCCGCUCUGUAGGCCCGGCCGGCGCUUGCCGAUCAACCCAAAUUUUUAUCCAGGUUGACCUCGGAUCAGGUAGGGAUACCCGCUGAACUUAAGCAUAUCA
rnacentral:misc_RNA from 1 species